CCAUCAAUAUAGCAAGGCACAAUUAUACAAUCACUUACCCAAAACCGCGGGUCCAUAUUCCCACCCUGGCCUCUUACUGAGGUCUAGAGUCAUCAUUAAAACAACAUUUAUAUACAAUAAAAUUGAGAUCACCAUAACAUAGCUAUAUAGCCAUUUAUUCUCUAUUCAUUAAUGAACUCCAAGUUUAGUCUUUAUUAGCUAAUCACCAA
rnacentral:lncRNA from 1 species